AACGUCCAGACGAACAGAAUC
rnacentral:miRNA from 1 species